AACCAAACAAAACAAAACAAAAAAGAAAGCAAUUCCAAGAGUUCAAAAUUUUGUUGUUGUUGUUGUUGUUUUGUUUUGUUUUGUUUGUUGUUUUUUUUUUUAAUAGCCCUGGAUGUCCUGGAACUCACUUUGUAGACCAGGCUGACCUCGAACUCAGAAAUCUGCCUGUCUCUGCCUCCCGAGUGCUGGGAUUAAAGGCAUGCGCCACCACGCCCGGCUGGAAUUGCUUUCUUAUUUGAAGGAUUUUUUUGGUUUGUUUUUUUGUGUUUUGAGACAGGGUUUCUCUGUGUGGCCUGGCUGUCCUGGGACUCACUCUGUAGACCAGGCUGGCCUCGAACUCAGAAAGUUGCCUGCCUCUGCCUCCCAGGUGCUGGGAUUAAAGGCAUGUGCCACCACGCCCGGCUUGAAGGAUUUUUGAAAUUAUUUUAUUAUAGGGUAUAAUGCAUCUGUGGCACGUGCAUGCUAUGGCAUGCAUAGAGAGAUAGAUCAGAGGACAAUUUUGUGGCAUCAGUUCUUGCCUUCCCCCUUCAUCAGACUUUUAGGGAUCAAAUUCAGGUCAUCAGGCUUAUAUGGCAAGCAUUUUCCUACUGAACCAUGCUGGGGAGUGGUUUGUUUUGUUUUGUUUUGUUUUUUAAUGGUUUUGAGGUACUGGGGAUGGAACUCAGGGCUGUGUGUGUGCUAGGCAAAUACUCUUACCUGAGCUAUUCUAUCAGCCCAAGUUAUCAAUUUUGAUGAGAUCUGAUUCAUUAUUUUUUCUUUUAUGUUUUAUAUGCUUUUAUUUUCUGUUAGAACACAUCUGCCAAGCAAGAGGUGGGAAGAUGAGUUAAGGGUAAAUCGCUUGCGGUGCAAGCACGAGGACCUGAGUUUGGAUCCCAGCACCCACUGAGUCUACCAUAAGAAAAGCUGGCUGCAACAGUGGGCAUCUGUCACCUCAGCCCUGGAAUAGGUGGAUCCUGACAGCUCGCUGGGCAGCCAGUCUAUCCAAACUAGUGAAAACCACAGCAGAGAAGAAGAAGAUGAGCCCCGGGCUAGUGUCAGUCAUGGUCUUCCCAGCACACACCUGUCACCAGGUUGAACGUUACGGUCCCCAGCACCAUAGCCAGAAGCACCCUUGUGAUUAUGCCGCUGCUUGUGGUGUAAGCCCCGAGGACCCAGCGUUCUGGCCAGACACGUGACUUCACACAGCCAACCUUCAAGGUAUUUGCUGACUCCAUGUUCUGUGAAGAACCAGAGCCAGGCAAUACACAGAAGAUCUGCCAGCCCUGCAGCAGUUAUGGGUGCCAUGUCUUCCCACCAUGAAGUAUUUCCUGAAAGUGUGAGCCAAAGCAGACCUUUCUUUCCCCCGUGGACUUUUCCUCUGUCAAGUACUCUGUCACAGUGCUGAGGUACCAAUGACUUCUCACAAAGGCCAUGUCUGCCAAAGACCAAGCACACUGGAGCAACCCCUGGACCCUCAGGCUCCUUGACCAGUUACUAGUGAGAGAGUUCAGAUACCUUCAGGCUUUCAGAAACUACAGCACUUGAGACAGUGCCAACAAUACAGCCAGAGUGGAGACGUGAGCUGUGGGGUAAGAGGACACUGGGCACCAUGUGAAGACCUGUCUGCACACAGCCUCUGAGAAGUCCCCUAGCCACCCACCUCCGUCCUGGCAUCCUCCAAACACAGUGAAGGUGUCAAUCGCUGCAAUAUACCACAACCUAAAGCAACUUGAGAAGAACGGCUUAUCAAUAAAUGACUCCCAGGUCACAGUCCACUAUCAGGGACGUCAGGGUAGGGAAUCAAGGAAGAAACCUGGCAUUAUUUUAUGUAUAGGUGUCUUGUCUGCACAUAUACAUAAGUGCACCCCAUGCAUGCAGUAUCCACAUGCAGUAUCCACAUGCAGUAUCCACAUGCAUGCAGUAUCCACAUGCAUGCAGUAUCCACAUGCAUGCAGUAUCCACAUGCAGUAUCCACAUGCAUGCAGUAUCCACAUGCAUGCAGUAUCCACAUGCAUGCAGUAUCCACAUGCAUGCAGUAUCCACAUGCAUGCAGUAUCCACAUGCAUGCAGUAUCCACAUGCAUGCAGUAUCCACAUGCAGUAUCCACAGAGGCCAAAGGAGGCCUAGUUCCCCUAGAACUAGAAUUGUGAAUGGUGGUGAGCUGCCGAGUCAGCGCUGAGAACCCAAGCCGCGUCAGAGCAACAGUAAUUCUGAGUGGGAUUAUCUCUCUGCCUUUCUCAGCACGCGCAUGUGCUGAUGUGUAUGCUGUUCCCUUGCAGAUUUACCUCAUAUCAGAGUAUUCUGGUAGAAUCCAGGGUAUGUGUAGCGUGGUAUCAUGUCCACUGCAAACAGGAAUGGAUGGGGCUCUUGUGCUACUAUCUAAGGCCUUCCCUCCUGUUUCUUCCUUCUACCCUGCUGCUGUAGCUAAGACUCAAGUACUGUAUUGAGUCUCUCUCUCUCUCUCUCUCUCUCUCUCUCUCUCUCUCUCUCUCUCUCUCUCUCUCUCUUCUCUCUCUCUCCUCUUUGGUUUUUUGAGACAGGGUUUCUCUGUGUAGCCCUGGCUGUCCUGGAACUCACUCUGUAAAACAGGCUGGUCUCAAACUCAGAAAUCCACCUGCCUCUGCCUUCCAAGUGCUGGGAUUAAAGGCAUGUGCCACCACCGCCUGGCUUGAGCAAGUAUUCUCUUCCUGGCUUCAGAGGAAAUGUUUUUCAUCUUUCCCUACUUAGUACAAUGUGCCUUUUGCUCUGAAACAGUCUUAUAACACUGAGAAGUGUUCCUACUAUGCUUAGGUUUUUUGUGACUUUUAUGUAGAAUGGGUAUUGAACUAUAUUAAAGGCUUUAUCUGUAUCAAGAUAACUAUGUAAUGUAUGUCCACGAGGUAAUAAUUAUGUGGCUAAUUGUAUCUCUACUGUAUC
rnacentral:lncRNA from 1 species